rnacentral:rRNA from 1 species
AUGGAUCUUAAACCUGAGAAUAUAUUGCUGGAUGGUAAGAUGAUCCUGAAAAUUGCGGAUUUCGGUCUCUCGAGGCUCUUCGGUCAAGAACAAACACGGAUGAGAACACAAAAUGUUGUUGGAUCGUAUGGAUACAUAGCUCCAGAAUAUCUAUACAAAGGUGAGAUCUCCACCAAGUCAGACAUAUAUAGUCUUGGCCUAUUAAUCUUGGAGACCACCACAGUUGAGAAAAAUUGUUCCAACAACGAACCAUCUGCGACGCAAUUUAUAAAAAGCGUACAUGAUAACUGGACGGAUGAGCACAUAGUGUCUCAGUGGCCACAUCUUGAUAGGGAUCGCUUUCAGCAGAUAAAAGUAUGCAUCAAAAUUGGACUAGAAUGUGUGGAGAUCGAUCGGCAGAAGAGACCUUCCAUAGAAGAGAUUGUCAAUAGGCUCAACGGACUAUGGUCAACUGGAAGUUGA